rnacentral:rRNA from 1 species
GAUGAACGCUGGCGGCGUGCCUAAUACAUGCAAGUCGAGCGAACAGACGAGAGUGCUUGCACUCUCUGACGUUAGCGGCGGACGGGUGAGUAACACGUGGGUAACCUACCUAUAAGACUGGGAUAACUUCGGGAAACCGGAUCUAAUACCGGAUAAUAUUUAGCUUCGCAUGAAGCAAUAGUGAAAGACGGCUCUGCUGUCACUUAUAGAUGGACCCGCGGUGUAUUAGCUAGUUGGUGAGGUAACGGCUCACCAAGGCAACGAUACAUAGCCGACCUGAGAGGGUGAUCGGCCAUACUGGGACUGAGACACGGCCCAGACUCCUACGGGAGGCAGCAGUAGGGAAUCUUCCGCAAUGGACGAAAGUCUGACGGAGCAAUGCCGCGUGAGUGAAGAAGGUUUUCGGAUCGUAAAACUCUGUUGUAAGGGAAGAACAAGUACGUUAGUAACUGAACGUACCUUGACGGUACCUUACCAGAAAGCCACGGCUAACUACGUG